rnacentral:rRNA from 1 species
CCUACGGGUGGCAGCAGUGGGGAAUAUUGCACAAUGGGGGAAACCCUGAUGCAGCGACGCCGCGUGAGUGAGGAAGUAUUUCGGUAUGUAAAGCUCUAUCAGCAGGGAAGAAAAUGACGGUACCCGACUCAGAAGCCCCGGGUAACUACGUGCCAGCAGCCGCGGUAAUACGUAGGGGGCAAGCGGUAUCAGGAUUUACUGGGGGUAAAGGGAGCGUUGGCGGGUAAGAAAGUCAGAAGGGAAAACCCUGGGCUCAACCUUGGGACUGCGUUUGAAACUGGGUAGCUAGAGUGCAGGAGAGGUAAGCGGAAUGCGUGGUGUAGCGGUGAAAUGCGUAGAUAUUACGAGGAACACCGGUGGCGAAGGCGGCAUACUGGACUGUAACUGACGUUGAGGCUCGAAAGCGUGGGGAGCAAACAGGAUUAGAUACCCGUGUAGUC